ensembl:miRNA
UCCCUGAGACCCUAACUUGUGACGUUCUGCUUCGAUGUCCACGGGUUGGGUUCUCGGGAGCU